rnacentral:rRNA from 1 species
UACAGAGGUCUCAAGCGUUGUUCGGAUUCAUUGGGCGUAAAGGGUGCGUAGGUGGCGCCGUAAGUCGGGUGUGGAAAUUUCGGAGCUUAACUCCGAAACUGCAUUCGAUACUGCGGUGCUUGAGGACUGGAGAGGAGACUGGAAUUCAUGGUGAGCAGUGAAAUGCGUAGAGAUCAUGAGGAAGACCAGUGGCGAAGGCGGGUCUCUGGACAGUUCCUGACACUGAGGCACGAAGGCCAGGGGAGCAAACGGG